rnacentral:lncRNA from 1 species
GAAAAAUCAUCCAUCUAUAUAUUGUUACAUGUCGCUAAUGACCUUGUUGUUGAUGCGACUAUAAACUGGUUAUA